AGUACCUUAAACUUCUAUGAGGGCGCAGGUGAGCUAAAUAAACAUCAUGUUUCACUGUUAGACAUUCUUAGUGAGUGACACAUUUCUCUGUGAAAAGACACAAGGAGGAGAUUUUUGUCAAUUAACACAACUUUCACAUGGUUGAAAUGAAACCAGCAUGAUUAAAAAAGUACUAGUUUGUCCACAGGGGGCACUAGAGUCAACCUGGAAAGUUCCUCACAAGAGCUGUAAAAGAAUGACAUGAUUGUUGUAGCCUAGCCAGUCAGGCAGUCUGUCCCUCCUCCUGCCGUGACAGAGAAGAUCCCAACACAAAGAUUUAAUCCAUGAAGAUUGACUAAUCUCUUCAAAUCUACAGGCCGUAUCUUGGGUUGAUCUAUCUUCUCAUCUUCCCAGUUUGGAUCCUUCUUCUUUCUUGGGUAAACAGAUGAUUCUAGAGGUUCGGCCCUAAGAGCCAAGGCAUUCAUGACCAACAGGAACUCCCCACGAUAUUGAAGACAACUGACUGUCUGCUGCAACCCAGCUGUGAAAUCAGGUAAGGCUAAAAUGACAGAAGUAAUUGCUUUUGAUAACUGUAAUCUAAGUCCAUAUCCCUCAUUUUAUUAGGAGUGUCUACAAUGUUGUUUGACAUUUCUUUCUUCUUCUUUUUCUCUGUCCAUUUCCACCCCUGCUGGCAUUCUUCACUCAUGCAGAUGUAACAGAAAACAAGAAACCAGAUUUUGCUUAACACAGGCAACUAAUGAAUCACAUUUUGGGGUAAAAACCUAGGUGUGUUCAGAUUUAUAUUAAUCUGUGGAUGAUUUUUCUUCUAUGAUGUCAGAUCACUCUGCGUACAUGACUUCAGUGAUCAGG
rnacentral:lncRNA from 1 species